UCGGCUAUAUUCUCCACGUGUCAUGAUCUCAUUCGUCUCUUCUAUCUAUAAAAUAACCUCCUCCCUCCCUCGCCUCACCGUCACCGAACGCUCCUCUCUCUCUAUAUAUACAUAUAUAUCUCUGCAGAUGUAGAGAUAACUGAGUCUCAGAUCUGUAUGUAUUGCCGUGUAUAUAUAUAAACAUCUCUAUUUAUCUGUGUGGAGGAGUUUCCAUUUGUUGCGGCGGUCUCUAAUUCGCUUGGUGCAGGUCGGGAACCGACUCGCCGGUGACGCUGGCCGCGCUGGAAUCGGCGGCGUUAGUUUCAUUGAUAUUUUGUUUGUAUCUAUCGAUAUGUAGAGAGCUCUCUAUUUGUUAGUAAUUUUUUUUGUUGAAAUUAACUUGAUAUACGUAUAGAUAAGUAAAGAGUGUUUACCCCCGGUUGGUUAAGUAAUAGAUAUGUAGAGAGUUCUUUUUUUUUUUAAUAGAUUAGUUAUGUAUGAAAGUGCGCCUCGUCUAUGGCUAAGUUUGUUCCCGCCUUGCAUCAACUGAAUCGGUGACCGCGGUGAAUCUGAAUAUCUUUGGGUCGAUCUAUUCUCCGCUACACGAGGUUCGUUUUUCAUUUAUUUUGAUUCAAAUAUUUGCAUACAUUUUUAUCUGUAUCGUGUGAGUGUGUUUGUUUCUUCUCGAUUUUUUUUAAUUUUUUUUUUCUGUUGUGUAACUGAUUGGAUUUAUCUGGAUCUAGUUGUAUCUAUUGAUGUGUGCAGGCUCGCGCUCCCAGCUUUGUUUAUUUGUCCUUUGGAUGAUCGAAGAGUUGGAUGUGCUUGUAUACUAAAUGUGUGAAGUUAGUUUUUUUGUUCUUCCUUCCGUUUUAAUGCUAUUUUUGAAUUGAUGAAGUUUCAUUAAAGAUAAGAGUUGCGGAGAACAGGCAUAAUAAUUUAGAAAUCCACUGGAGAUUGCCAUGGAUUAAUCGUGCAUGUUUGAUGUGUAAGAGAAGGUUGUGCUUCAAUAGCGAAUGUUCAAAGUGAACAAGUUUAGUAACGUUGACAGCUUUGAUGAAUCAUAGAUUGGAAUUAUGGAUUAAUGUUGGAAUCUAACGUGUUUUCAAAUGAAGAAAAUUGAGUCUUGAAUUGUUAUUGACGAAUUAGAGAGUUUCUAUAAUUAUUUAUGUUUAUCUGGAUCUAAGAGAUACUAGUGCUGAAUGAUGGAUAUUUAAGUUUGAAAUUUCUGUAUUUUCUUUCUGCCAUUGAUAAAUCGUAAGUUGGAGUUUGAACACCAGAAGUUUUCUUGUUCACUCUGUUUCAAAUGACACCUGACGCAGCAUUAAUGUAGCUUCUGGCCUAUUAAUACAGUAAUCUAGAUAAGAUAUGAAAAUGUAGAUCCAGAAGGUAAAUUAUGCUGUGGUCGAAUGUGCAGUCUGCACUGUAACUACAAAAGAUUUCAAAUUGAUGGUGCAUUUUUUAGUUUAACAUUGCGCACACAAUUUAUUGGAUACUUAAAUGGCAUUAACUGCCUCCAUCUUCGUCUUGUCAUCACCUUCUUUGGCUAAGUUCACAGAGGGAAAUAAUAAUUGACAAUUUCUCCAAGUCGCAGUUAAUGUUUUUAAUGAGAGUUUCUCAUUCUAAUUUUAGUUGAAAUUCACUAUUUUCUGUUGUGUUUGAAGGGUCUUAAUAACCCAAUAUCGGUUGAGGGCUGAGGGACACAAUUGAAGAUCUUCCAACUGCUUGUUCAUUUGUUUUGUGCUCAUUUAAGUUUGUUUACAUAGUAACCUAAUAAAUUAAAAAUUGCAUUCUUAUCACAACUGAGAAGUUUUAUACGUGAGGACAGCCUGGCAGGUGUGUUUGAUUGAUGUAAUAGUCAUAUUGAGGAAUUCAUGUUGGGGUUUUCAACGCCAUUUACUCAACUGAGUUGAGGAGAAAGAUAAUUUGGAGGUGCCACAGAGUUUACAAUAAUCCAUGGAGGCAGGAAUAACAAAUAUGAGUUGCUUAGUGUUUGGGAGAACCUAGUGUUUGUAACGUACUGGCCUACAAGUUUUCAGUGGGAGACUUUUGGUACAUAUUCCUUUACAGUGGGUUAGUUGGUGUCUGUUAACCAAUGCUUAAUGUCUUGAAGUUGAAUCCAGCAAAUUUAUAUAUGCCAAUUUAGUAAUUUACCAACUUGUGUUUAUUUGUUCUCUGCUGCAUCAUCAAUGACCAAAGCAUCCGUCUUUACUACUAAUAGAAUAGAUGAGUUAUAUCAAAUACAUACUCUUGGUACUCUCAUGAUUAAGGGAUGAUAUAAAUUUCUCGUUUUGUCCUCAUGCUUCGUCUUUUUUCUGUUUGUAAACGUCAUUUAUGUUCGUCCUCAUCAAAACUAGUAUGAAGCUUGACAUGUUUAAGGUAAUGUAGUAGGCUAACUAGGCUGCAGGCUGUAACAUAUUGGUAUCAGCUGUCUUCUUGUUAUGGGUAGAACUAGAACCUGUAGAAAGAAUAGACGGCGUUGCUGACAGCAAGAUUCCAGGAUGCAAAACAUCUCUGGCAGAACACAGUGUUUUGGGCUAGGUGUUUUAUUGUAACAUUUGCGCUACAGAAUACGCAAAGAAGAUACAGAUGCGACUAGCCUCUACCUUUGCAAAGAGAUUAAUUUCUAUUUUCUCAGUGUAUUGGAAGUCAAGUAAAAGACUUGUCUUAUGCUCCAUUGAAAUACAAAUACUGGUGCCUGGCAAUUUCUGACCCCUCUUUUAUCUGUUAUUUUCUUUAUGAAUCGGGUACUAUAAUAAUGAGUUUACGUUGGUGAUUUGAUUGGAAGUCUUGAUGCUUCUUUGGUUUUAUGAUGUCACCUUGUAUUCUUAGAAAUUUGCUAGUUAGAUUCCCCUAGUAUAGGGUGUUCCAGGAAUGCAGGGACUUUUCAGCAUCUCCAUUUUCAUUUUAAAAAAUUUAGCUCCUGUAACCCAUGGAAACAUGGGUUAGCAGUGAAUUGUAGAACACUCAUGUAUAUUUUGCUGGAAAACAGCACUUCAAUGCAAGAACACAUCCAGCCUCUCCUUUAUCACCUGUUCAGCUUACUCUGCUUCACCAUUCUACCUCUUAGUCUCGUUUUCUCACCAACUUGUCCGUCCUAAGGUUUCUUUCCUCUACUUUCACUGUGCCGAAUGGCACUAGACUUUUCUUUACUUCACAUAACCUGAACAAAAUUUCUACUUCCUUACCCUCCCUCACUACACCCGGCUUAAUGUCCCUGUUUUCAAAUAGUGGCUCCUGCUAAACUAGCUGUUACUUAUUUCGUACUAAUCCCUGGUUUCUCAACCUGAAUCAAUGCCUCUGUUUAGUGACUAAAGCAGCUGCCACAACAAGCUCUUUUUCCGCUAUUCUAUCUCCUUCAUCAUUAAGGUGGUAUUACGUGUACAAAUUAAUGUAGUAGCUUAUGUCUUGUGUGGCAUGGGAGGAAGUUGCAGCCUGUACCCCUUCAUAUUUUUCCAACUGUCGAAAUUUUUACCUACUAUCUAAAUUACUUUUGCUGGAGUCAUGGUGCUUAAAAAUGCUGCCCAGGAUGUUGUAAUCUGUUAUUUUCUGCUCGAUAUUGGGAUGAUGUUUUCAUAUUGAGCAUUGUCCUUGUAUUGGGUGUGAAGUUAGAAGUCUAGCAAUGAUAACCGAUAGCAAAUAAAAUGUUGAAGGAUCUUUGGGCAGAAGACAAAACAUGACAUGAGAAGUGUGCAUGGCCAGGGGCGGAUCCAGCCUAUUGAGUGAGGGUUCCCGUGAACCCAGUAACUUUUGCAUAUACCCUGUAUAUGUAUUAAAAAAUUCACUAAAUAUCCAUAAAUAUUUGAUUGUGAAUCCAGUUACUUAUUGUAUAUUUACUUAAGGUUGUUAUAGGAACCCAUAAGCUUUAAAUCCUAGAUCCGCCUCUGUGCAUGGCUUUAUAAUAGCGGAUUGCAAUGUGCAGCAAGGGAAGGGAUUUUGUUGCAUGCCGUUUCAUGUGUAGUUACAGCCAGCGGAGGUGUAUUAGUUACUUACUAAAUACUUGGUAUUAAAUGUAGUUAGCUUUUAUGAAUGUAUUGCAUGAGGUGUGGUUGUAGCCCUAUUGCAGUUCUCUUUAUAGGCAUAUCUGGCAAUACCAUCUUCCUACCUUCCAUUUUCAUUCUUUUUGGAUAGCUCAUAAUCCCCGAGUUAAUCCCUAUUUCCUUCUUGAGCACUGCUGUUCGUGGAUGAUUCAUUAUACCGGCAUCAUCUGUUAUCAAAGCAAGAAUUUACUUGGCUAUAUUAUGGUGAAAACAAACAAAAGUUACAGAUAAGGCAGCGAUGGAAAUGAAGACAUUCAAGGAGCUAGCUGCAGAGAGAUUCUUCAAUGAAAUGAAGUCAAGGCAAGAUAAAUUGGUGGGAUCCGCUAAGGCGAUGGAUGAAGGACAGGAUAACAUUGUGCAUGCCUGCCCCUGGAACCAACCUAUGAAUGGGUUCAAUCCAAAUACCAAAUCUCACUUCGCUUGUAUCUCAAAGCUCGAAUUUCCUAAAUUCUCAGGAACUGACCUCAAUUCCUGGUUAUACAAGCAUCGAGCUUAUUAUUGUGGGAAAAUGCAUCUUUACGUGAGAGGUUUAUGUCCUAGCUCUUGUUGAAAGGUUAGAGUUAAGCAGGAGGAUCACAUGGCUGAGCUCAAACAGCUCGAGCAGACAUAGAGGGCAUAAUGCAUUAUCAAGCUUCGUUUAAUGGUAUUAUAACAAGGAGUAGCGCAGCCCAAUCCAAAUUAUUCAAGAAGCAAACAUCAGUCCUCCCUGCUCCUAACAAAAGGUACGUUCUAACCAAGCAUCUAACUCCCAAUACACUUUAACUUUCCACUUGUAUGGCUCUUACUAUUGUCGAAAGGGGUGAUAGAAGGUCCUAAGAAUUAUACUCCUAUUAUUUUUCUGUGUGAAUCCUCUACUCCUGAGAAAAAAUGUAUACAUAUUAAGACUCUUAAGAAUUUGCAAAAGCAGAGAGAACCUUUGUUGAGCCAAAGGAACUUAUGCCCUUAUCUCUGUAAGCUCUGACUGGAGCUAAGAGUUAUUAAAUGUUGAGGGUGAUAGGGCACCACGAGAA